AUUGAACGCUGGCGGAAUGCUUUACACAUGCAAGUCGAACGGCAGCAUAGGUGCUUGCACCUGGUGGCGAGUGGCGAACGGGUGAGUAAUACAUCGGAACGUACCUUAUCGUGGGGGAUAACGCAGCGAAAGUUGCGCUAAUACCGCAUACGCCCUGAGGGGGAAAGCGGGGGACCGUAAGGCCUCGCGCGAUUAGAGCGGCCGAUGUCUGAUUAGCUUGUUGGUGAGGUAAAAGCUCACCAAGGCGAUGAUCAGUAGCUGGUCUGAGAGGACGAUCAGCCACACUGGGACUGAGACACGGCCCAGACUCCUACGGGAGGCAGCAGUGGGGAAUUUUGGACAAUGGGGGCAACCCUGAUCCAGCAAUGCCGCGUGAGUGAAGAAGGCCUUCGGGUUGUAAAGCUGUUUUGUCAGGGAAGAAACAGCAGCUCUAACACAGUCUGCGAAUGACGGUACCUGAAGAAUAAGCACCGGCUAACUACGUGCCAGCCGCCGCAGUAA
rnacentral:rRNA from 1 species